AGUUUUGCACAGGGGCAGUAUCGUAGCCAAUGAGGCUUGUCCAAGGCACGAUCAUUGCUAAUUGAAAACUUUUCCCAAUACCCUGCCGUGACGACUUAAAAUAUAGUCAGCCCUGGCAAUUUUUGACCGUCUCUACAGAGA